rnacentral:rRNA from 1 species
GUAUCCUGGCUCAGGAUGAACGCUGGCGGCGUGCUUAACACAUGCAAGUUGAACGGGAAUUACUUUAUUGAAACUUCGGUCGAUUUAAUUUAAUUCUAGUGGCGGACGGGUGAGUAACGCGUGGGUAACCUGCCUUAUACAGGGGGAUAACAGUCAGAAAUGGCUGCUAAUACCGCAUAAGCGCACAGAGCUGCAUGGCUCAGUGUGAAAAACUCCGGUGGUAUAAGAUGGACCCGCGUUGGAUUAG